UGAUCUGACGAGAGAGUGUAAAAAUAGAAAAAUACGAUCUUUAAUUAAUUCAAGCUUCAUAUUAACUGAUCAAAACAGCCCGUAAACACGAGAUAUUAGAUGAUUCAGCGUGUUUGUGUUACUCCUGCACCACAAAACUUGCAUGUGGAAUUGUGUGAUUGGGUCAGGCCGCAUGUUCUGUGCGUGUCUCUGCGGUUUGCUGACGCCAUUUUGAUUGCGUGUACCUGUGAAAAAAAACAGACGAGAAUGGACAGGCCAGGUUUUUUUUUCCCCUUGUGAGGAUGAACUUUAAUGUGGAUUUCCAUAAUUGAUGGCGAGCCUCCCAC